AUUAACGUUUCUUUGAACGUUGUCACCAACCUAAUAUUGAACGAGUCAAUUUGUGAUUUUAUCUGUCUGUGUCUCUCUCAUUUCAGAACGGCGGCAUGAUCAAAAACACGUUAUAUCUUUCCCUUCCGUUGAUUGGUUGACAUGAGAUGAUAUUGGAUUUGUGCUCAUUUAUUAAUUAACAGGUGACACCAGCGCGCCUACCUUUAUAAAUCAAUCCCCUACUGUCUCGUUAAAAGGAAUCAGUUCUGGCUAUUGAUUCCAAGGAAGACUAGGUCACAGUUGAGCAGCAGGUGACCAAUGUUUAUAACUGCUUCAUUUAUGGAAUGCUUUGGGGAAAAAAACCUUCCUCAUCCUUUGAGUUUGUCAAGCAAUUUGGUUUAUGCAAGUUAAUUUUUUAUCUACCUUUACCCCUUAUUUCUCUGCCAUUUUAAAACCUACUAUGUAAAGGCAGUAUAUGUAACCUGGAAUUGGCAUGUGUUUUAAACGGAGCCGAUGUGAAUAUGACGACGAAGAGCCGACUAGACCAUUUGAGAUGCUACCCCGUGUGGUUCAUACUAGGCCUACACCCUUUGAGUAAAAGGGUCCUUUUUUUUUCUUCAGACCGAUUCCUCAAAAGGGGUCGUGGGCUGGUUGGUAAUCAUCUUGUCCUGCUGCUGUGGAAAGUCCCGGUCUUUAUCAGCAACAACAUAGUGACGGCUCAGAUCUUCUGGGAGAGGCUGUGGAUGAUACUGUGACGUGCAGAGUACUGGACAGAUGCAAGGAACAAGCACAUUUUCUGAAGACUAUUUCUGACUGGUGUUUCAUUGACUUUUAAAGAUGGUGUAUGACUCCAUGUUGACUCUCCCCAGAGACCUGCAGAACCAGCAUCGCCAGGAUGGGGAAAGUGCAACAGCUGCUCGGCGCGAGGGUUCCGGAACCAAGGCCCAGGUUGCCACGGCAGCUGGGGUUCUGUUCCUGAUUUGCCAGGGUGCUGAGUCUGGUGUCUCUCAGCUGGACAGCUCCGUGUCAUCACUGACUUCUAUAAUCCUCUGGAACACCAGGGCUUAAAGAGCUGGGUGCGGCCAUCUUUAUCUGGUGGGGAGCUCUCAUGGCCAGGUACGGACCACAAUGCAGUAAAUCAGACUUUUAUUUUUUUAAUCUUCAAUUUUGAUGGAUUUAUUGUUGUCCUGAAACUACUGAAGCAACUAUGUAUUUUAAAUGUCCUUCCAGUCAUUCAGGGGGUGUCCUGGUGUUCUCGUGCCCACAGAGGGACGGCCCUGGACGGCAUAAGGGUUGGUAUAAUAAACCACCACUAACCCUGCCCGCAGCCAGGGCACGUCUCAUGUCUGAUCUGCCCGACCAGAGGAGGACCCUAUUCCCUAUGUAGUGCACGACGUGUUCCCUAGAGAAUAGGAUGGUAUUUGGAGACCUGUUCCCUAUAUAGAGACCAGGGUCCUAUUCCCUAUAUAGUGCACUACUUUAGACCAGGACCCUAUAUAGUACAC